rnacentral:rRNA from 1 species
CGGGAGGUGGUAUCUAUAACGAGCGCACCCUAUUCUUAGUUGCCAGCGGUUCGGCCGGGGACUCUAAGAAAACUGCCAGUGCAAGCUGUGAGGAAGGUGGGGAUGACGUCAAAUCAUCACGGCCCUUACGACCUGGGCCACACACGUGCUACAGUGGUAGGUACAAAGGGCAGCCACUUGGUGACAAGGAGCUAAUCUCUAAAACCUAUCUCAGUUCGGAUUGGAGUCUGAAACUCGACUCUAUGAAGCUGGAAUCGCUAGUAAUCGCGCAUCAGCCAUGGCGCGGUGAAUACGUUCCCGGGCCUUGUACACACCGCCCGUCAAGCCAUGGAAGCUGGGAGUACCUGAAGUCGGUAACCAUAUAGGAGCUGCCUAGGGUAAAACUAGUAACUGGGGCUAAGUCGUAACAAGGUAGCCGUACCGGAAGGUGUGGCUGGAACACCUCCUUUCU